rnacentral:rRNA from 1 species
AUGCAGCCAUGCGCGCGUGUAUGAAGAAGGCCUUGCGGGUUGUAAAGUACUUUCAGCGAGGAGGAAGGCGAUACGGUUAAUAACCGUGUCGAUUGACGUUACUCGCAGAAGAAGCACCGGCUAACUCCGUGCCAGCAGCCGCGGUAAUACGGAGGGUGCAAGCGUUAAUCGGAAUUACUGGGCGUAAAGCGCACGCAGGCGGUCUGUCAAGUCGGAUGUGAAAUCCCCGGGCUCAACCUGGGAACUGCAUUCGAAACUGGCAGGCUUGAGUCUUGUACAGGGGGGUAGAAUUCCAGGUGUAGCGGUGAAAUGCGUAGAGAUCUGGAGGAAUACCGGUGGCGAAGGCGGCCCCCUGGACAAAGACUGAGGCUUAAGUGCGAAAUCGUGGGGAGCAAACGGGAUUAGAUACGCUGGUAGUCCACGCCGGAUACGAUGUGCACUUGAAGGUUGUGCCCUUGAGGCGUGGCUUCCGGAACUAAGGCAUGAACUCCACCGCCUGGGGAGUACGGCCGCAGGUUAAAACUCAGAUGAGUUGACCGUCGCCCGCACAGACUUUGGAGCAUGUGGUUUAAUUCGAUGCGACGCGGACAUCCUUAGCUACUCUUGGAAUCCACGGAACUUAGCGGAGAUCCUUUGGUGCCUUCCGGAACCGGGAGGCAGGUGCUGGGUGGCUGUCGUCGUUUCGUGUUGUGAAAUGUUCACCUUAGUCCCGUCUUUGUCGCAAGCCGUUAUCCAUUGUUGCCAGCGGUUCUCCCGAGAACUCACAGGACACUGCCACUGAUGGACUGCAACACGCCUCUCUGAUGAACUCAAGUCAGCCUGUCCCUAACGAGGGUCGCUAGUCGAGCGCUAGGAUGUCAUAUACUACGUGAAGGACCGUCGGCAUAGGGAUGUACACCUCGUAAUUUAUGAUCAUAGUCCGCAUCGUACUCAGU